rnacentral:rRNA from 1 species
UGGGGAAUAUUGGACAAUGGGCGCAAGCCUGAUCCAGCCAUGCCGCGUGAGUGAUGAAGGCCCUAGGGUUGUAAAGCUCUUUCACCGGUGAAGAUAAUGACGGUAACCGGAGAAGAAGCCCCGGCUAACUUCGUGCCAGCAGCCGCGGUAAUACGAAGGGGGCUAGCGUUGUUCGGAUUUACUGGGCGUAAAUCGCACGUAGGCGGACUUUUAAGUCAGGGGUGAAAUCCCGGGGCUCAACCCCGGAACUGCCUUUGAUACUGGAAGUCUUGAGUAUGGUAGAGGUGAGUGGAAUUCCGAGUGUAGAAGUGAAAUUCGUAGAUAUUCGGAGGAACACCAGUGGCGAAGGCGGCUCACUGGACCAUUACUGACGCUGGGGUGCGAAAGCGUGGGGAGCAAACAGG